rnacentral:rRNA from 1 species
GACGAACGCUGGCGGCGUGGAUUAGGCAUGCAAGUCGAACGGUAUCAUCCUUUCGGGGGUGAGAGAGUGGCGAACUGGUGAGUAACACGUAGGUUAUCUACCCUCAAGACGGGGACAGCCCAGGGAAACUUGGGCUAAUACCGGAUGUGAGCAACUUUUAGUUGUUUGAAAGGUGGCGUAAGCUGUCGCUUGGGGAUGAGCCUGCGUCCUAUUAGUUAGUUGGUGAGGUAACGGCUCACCUAGGCAAUGAUAGGUAGGCGGCCUUAACGGGUGGUCGCCCACACUGGGAUUGAGAUACGGCCCAGACUCCUACGGGAGGCAGCAGUCGAGAAUAGUCUACAAUGGUCGGAAGACUGAUAGUGCGACGCCGCGUGAACGAUGAAUCCCUUCGGGGUGUAAAGUUCUUUUAUAUGUGAGCAGUGCUUCUUAUAUUAACAGUAUGGGGAAGAGAUAUUAGCAUAUGAAUAAGCAACGGCUAACUCCGUGCCAGCAGCCGCGGU